ensembl:lncRNA
GUGGAAAUGCUGGCUGAGGAACCAGAGAGAGCAUCCUUAUUCUUCAAGUGUCACAAAGCCCCAAAAUCCCACCUGGAGGCAGCCGGGCUGGUCUUAAGGAGCACAUAUAAAGACAAAAAGGUCACUUGAGUUGGAAAAAUCUCUCAAAUGUAGCCUUGAGCUAAUGGCUUCUACUGUCAUUGUUGUUCCCCUUCAUGGAGUCACAGAAUUGGAGGGUUGGAAGGGACCUCUGGGGGUCACUGAGUCCAACUCCUCUGACGAAGGGGAACCAUAGGGCUAUGAAAAGCUGUAGAACACUGAGGGAGAUGUAGGGCCACCAUGAGGGGCUGUAGGGCCACAAGGAGCUGCAGGACAUGAGGAGUUGUAGGGCCAGGAGGAGCUGCGGGGCCAAGAGGGAUCUAUAGGGUCAUGAAGAAUUGUAUGGUCGUGAGGAGCUGUAGGCCACCAUGAAGAGCUGUAGGGCCGCCAUGAGGACCUACAGGGCCAUGACAAGCUGGAGGGCCAUGAGAGAGAGAGCUGUAGGGCCACAUGAGGUGCAACACAUGAGGAGCUGUAGGGCCAGGAGGAGUUGUAGGGCCAAGAGGGAGCUAUAGAGCGAUGAGGAACUGUAGGACAAGGAGCUGUGAGCCACCAUCAAGAGCUGUAGGGUUGCCUUGAGGAGGAAUCAUUGCAGGGGAGUUGGACUAGAUGGCCUUUAAUGGUCCCCUCCAACUCUAAGGUUUUGGUGAUUCUAUGAAGAGCUGUAGGGCUGCCGUGAGGAGUUGGAGGUCAUCAUGAGGAUCUGCAGGGCCAUGAGAGAGCUGUAGGCCACCAUGAAGAGCUGUAGGGCUGCCAUGAAGGGCUGUAGGGCUGCCGUGAGGAGACGUAGGCUGCCAUGAAGGGCUGUAGGGCUGCCAUGAGGAGAUGUAGGCUGCCAUGAAGGGCUGUAGGGUUGCCACGAGGAGAUGUAGGCUGCCAUGAAGGGCUGUAGGUUUGCCAUGAGGAGAUGUAGGCUGCCAUGAAGGGCUGUAGGGUUGCCAUGAGGAGCUACAGGCUGCUAUGAGGCCUCCCCUCAGCCUCCUCCUCUUCUCUGGGCUGAAUAAGCCUGUAGGCCUCAGCUGUUCCUCACAGAUCUUGCCCUCUAGAUGAGUGAACAGCAUACACACGGGCAAAUAAAGUGCACUCCCGGGGAGGGAAGGAUACAGAUUUUUUUCCUACCUCUUGCAAAAAGGGAUUAUUUUCCCCGUGGCUCUGGCCCUUUUUUCUUCUCAACCCUUGUCACCACCCUGGGGUGCUCACACAGCUGUGCAUGCUCUAACAGAAGGAUUUUCGGAGGGUCUUUAUUCCGACAGAGAAGCAAUUUCCCACUCGGUUUUAAUUCUUCUUAAUAUGCUGCCUUCAUCUUCGGUACUUUGUGGUGUGAAAUAGCUGCCAUGUUUCACACUGGGAGAGCACAAAUCCCUCUCUUCUGGCCCCAGAGGGGCAGAUGUACUCACAAACGGAACCUCUCGUUCUUUUCCUGUUUCCCCUUUAUCUAUGGACAGAUUUCCUCCUGUCAUUUCCUCCUCCUUGAUCUUGCAUUGUUUCUUUUUUUCCCCCUGUUCCCAUCUCCUUCUUAUCCUCUUUUUGGGGUUUCUGGAGUCCCUGCCUUCCAUGCAUAAAACCAGCAGCUCGCUUUAAUCAAGCACGCCAAUUAAAGAACUCUCAAUUACAGACGUCUGCCGUGUCACGAUUUACUCCGUGCUUUGGGAUUUUUAAUUCACCUAUUAUUCCAGCCUCUGAAGAAACCCGAGAGGAAUGAAGCACAGAAGAUCAGAUCACAGAGAAGAAGAACUGCAAAGAGUGGCAUCCCCUCCUCCAGCAGCCCCAAACUGUUAUCUCUGUGGGCUCACCAGCUGGGAGCUUUAUAGCAAGAAUUUUGCAAGCUGACAGGCACUGAUCCUCAGCAUCUUGCUGGGAAAC